UACGGGGGGGGCAAGCGUUGUUCGGAAUUACUGGGCGUAAAGGGCUCGUAGGCGGCCAACUAAGUCAGACGUGAAAUCCCUCGGCUUAACCGGGGAACUGCGUCUGAUACUGGAUGGCUUGAGGUUGGGAGAGGGAUGCGGAAUUCCAGGUGUAGCGGUGAAAUGCGUAGAUAUCUGGAGGAACACCGGUGGCGAAGGCGGCUCUCUGGGACGGUACUGACGCUGAGACGCGAAAGCGUGGGGAGCGAACAGG
rnacentral:rRNA from 1 species